AAAGGAGGGAUUUGGAGGUGGCGAAAACUCUCUUCCUGGUGGUGGCGACUGACUUCUGUUGCUGGUGUCCAAUCGGAGUGAUGGGUGUGAUGUCCUUGUACGGUUUCCAAAUCCCUGAUUAUGUGUACGCGUGGGUGAUGGUGUUUGUGUUGCCGGUGAACGCUGCCGUCAAUCCUUUCCUGUAUACCCUAACUUCAAUAUGGAGGCGCAGACGAGCCAAUACUGCAUCGAGAACAACUACAAUUCCGCUCCAGAUACGAACAACUAUGGCCAUACCCGGGGCAAACGCCUGACACAAAACGGGAACCAGAAUACACAAUGUUGGAUUCCGUCAUUAUUUUUGCGUGCGGCUCUUGGCGCUGGGACGAUUUGGACCAUUUUUAUCCCUUAACCGUAUAGGAAAGUUAGAUAAUCGAGUUGGUCGACAUCAUUUCGAGAUAUUAACAUCAUAUUGCAUAAUGUGUUAUAGAUUAUUUGUAUUUUCAGGUGUGUUGUCGUCUCUAGGCAUAACGUUAUGUUAACAUGUAUAGUUAUUUAAAUUAGAUAACCCGAUGUCACCUGAUCCUUUAAGGUCACAUCAUUAUUUCAUUAAAAAU